AGAGUUUGAUCCUGGCUCAGGACGAACGCUGGCGGCGUGCUUAACACAUGCAAGUCGAACGGAAAGGCCCUUCGGGGUACUCGAGUGGCGAACGGGUGAGUAACACGUGGGUGAUCUGCCCUGCACUCUGGGAUAAGCCUGGGAAACUGGGUCUAAUACCGGAUAGGACCGCAUGCUUCAUGGUGUGUGGUGCAAAGCUUUUGCGGUGUGGGAUGAGCCCGCGGCCUAUCAGCUUGUUGGUGGGGUAAUGGCCUACCAAGGCGACGACGGGUAGCCGGCCUGAGAGGGUGACCGGCCACACUGGGACUGAGAUACGGCCCAGACUCCUACGGGAGGCAGCAGUGGGGAAUAUUGCACAAUGGGCGCAAGCCUGAUGCAGCGACGCCGCGUGAGGGAUGACGGCCUUCGGGUUGUAAACCUCUUUCAGUAGGGACGAAGCGAAAGUGACGGUACCUACAGAAGAAGGACCGGCCAACUACGUGCCAGCAGCCGCGGUAAUACGUAGGGUCCGAGCGUUGUCCGGAAUUACUGGGCGUAAAGAGCUCGUAGGUGGUUUGUCGCGUUGUUCGUGAAAACUCACAGCUUAACUGUGGGCGUGCGGGCGAUACGGGCAGACUAGAGUACUGCAGGGGAGACUGGAAUUCCUGGUGUAGCGGUGGAAUGCGCAGAUAUCAGGAGGAACACCGGUGGCGAAGGCGGGUCUCUGGGCAGUAACUGACGCUGAGGAGCGAAAGCGUGGGUAGCGAACAGGAUUAGAUACCCUGGUAGUC
rnacentral:rRNA from 1 species